AUAAUUCAAUAGCUGUUCUUCAAUCAGGGCACAGAUGGUUAAAGACACAGUGAAACAUUCAACCAAUCAAGAAACGACCGCUGUAACGCUAAUGGUUCUUUUUGAAUAGCUGACGGAGUGCCUGGAUGGAUGCAACCUGGAUGGACAAGCAACACCAUGAAAUAGUCAAAACGGUUGUUCAUGCACGGAAGUGGAUAUUAAAUGAAAUCUACGCGUAAUUUGGUGCCAUUUGUUGGCUAACCAAAUCAAAAAGGCAGUCUAAGUGUACUUCACAUCCAGGAGAUGGCUCGGGACAUUUAGCCUACAGAUGGAGUUAAUCAUUCAGCGUAUCAAGAAACGAACAAAAAUGCUUAUGAUGUAUCGACAAGGACACAAGAAUGAAUCUUUUUUCUCACCUGGAAGCAACGGUGAACUAUGAAAGCAGUAAGCUAAAUCUUUCUUUCGUGUGUAAUCCCAAACAAAAGUCCCAACACUAAUUAUAGCUGUUUAAGGCAUGCAGCAUAAUUUACAGUUCUAUCGAUGUCCGUAAUGACGUAUGGUAGGUGAAAUACAAUCGGUGAAAUACAAAAAUACAAAUACGAUUAUCCUUGUUACGACACAGAUACGAAUAAUCGCCAACUCGCCAAGGGAAUGUAGAUCACUCUCCAUGAUAUAGAAUCAGAUAUAACAAGAGGCUGUGUAAGAAAAAUGUCUGAUGCUAUUAAUAAUGUGACGAAAGUAAAAAUGUAAGCGCCUAGCCUUUUUAUUGUAAGUAAAUAAAAUAAAUUAAGUAUAAUUUAAGUUCUGGUUAAGUUGUUAUUUUUUAAAUACGACCAGUGGAAGUUAUAAAUCUAAAGAAACUUGGAAGCAAUUCAUUCUAUGGUCACUUACUUACAAAUAUUCGUUGGUCUACCUAUUUUAAUUUUACUGAACCUAUUCCGGUAAUAGCUUGUGAGGUUACAAUACAAUACAACUAUACAAUACAAGUACAAUAGUUCCUAAUUUGUUCCUAUUGGACAGAUUUGUAGCCUCACUACAGUG